UUUGUCUUGGCUUCGAUCGCAGCAACCUUUCGCAGUUCAAUAAAUUCGCUCGUAUCUCUCAUCUUUUCAAUGGGGGCCCCCUGACCGAGGACACGCGACGCCAGCGAAAAAAAGAAAUCUGUCGGGGAUGGAUCGAAUUAGGAAUUGGUAUCCGAACGCUAUGCAGAUGUCUCCAGCGGAGCCAAUCGAUGGCAAACCGCACGUCUCGACCUGCCGUGGGACAUUUCCGCGAGAGUCACGGAGAAAGGAUGCCCCACCUUCCAGCUGGGGACACAAUAGAGACGCGAGAGGAAGCGGGUUUUGUCCGGCUCUUUUCACACCCCGCCUGAAUGCGUGACAGUUGACGAACGAGGCCCACCGGGAGCUUUUCCCGUUCGGCCAUCGACACGGU
rnacentral:lncRNA from 1 species